AGAGUUUGAUUAGGGCUCAGAUUGAACGCUGGCGGCAGGCUUAACACAUGCAAGUCGAGCGGCAGCGGAAAGAAGCUUGCUUCUUUGCCGGCGAGCGGCGGACGGGUGAGUAAUGUCUGGGGAUCUGCCCGAUGGAGGGGGAUAACUACUGGAAACGGUAGCUAAUACCGCAUAAUGUCGCAAGACCAAAGUGGGGGACCUUCGGGCCUCACACCAUCGGAUGAACCCAGAUGGGAUUAGCUAGUAGGUGGGGUAAUGGCUCACCUAGGCGACGAUCCCUAGCUGGUCUGAGAGGAUGACCAGCCACACUGGAACUGAGACACGGUCCAGACUCCUACGGGAGGCAGCAGUGGGGAAUAUUGCACAAUAGGGGAAACCCUGAUGCAGCCAUGCCGCGUGUGUGAAGAAGGCCUUCGGGUUGUAAAGCACUUUCAGCGGGGAGGAAGGCAAUGGCGUUAAUAGUGUCAUUGAUUGACGUUACCCGCAGAAGAAGCACCGGCUAACUCCGUGCCAGCAGCCGCGGUAAUACGGAGGGUGCGAGCGUUAAUCGGAAUUACUGGGCGUAAAGCGUACGCAGGCGGUCUGUUAAGUCAGAUGUGAAAUCCCCGGGCUUAACCUGGGAACUGCAUUUGAAACUGGCAGGCUAGAGUCUCGUAGAGGGGGGUAGAAUUCCAGGUGUAGCGGUGAAAUGCGUAGAGAUCUGGAGGAAUACCGGUGGCGAAGGCGGCCCCCUGGACGAAGACUGACGCUCAGGUACGAAAGCGUGGGGAGCAAACAGGAUUAGAUACCCUGGUAGUCCACGCUGUAAACGAUGUCGAUUUGAAGGUUGUGGUCUUGAGCCGUGGCUUUCGGAGCUAACGCGUUAAAUCGACCGCCUGGGGAGUACGGCCGCAAGGUUAAAACUCAAAUGAAUUGACGGGGGCCCGCACAAGCGGUGGAGCAU
rnacentral:rRNA from 1 species